rnacentral:rRNA from 1 species
UACGUAGGGUGCAAGCGUUGUCCGGAAUUAUUGGGCGUAAAGAGCUCGUAGGCGGUCUGUCGCGUCGGAUGUGAAAAUCCAGGGCUUAACCCUGGGCCUGCAUUCGAUACGGGCAGACUAGAGUUCGGUAGGGGAGACUGGAAUUCCUGGUGUAGCGGUGAAAUGCGCAGAUAUCAGGAGGAACACCGGUGGCGAAGGCGGAUCUCUGGGCCUUACCUGACGCUCAGGUGCGAAAGCUAGGGGAGCGAACAGG